rnacentral:rRNA from 1 species
UACGUAGGGGGCAAGCGUUGUCCGGAUUUAUUGGGCGUAAAGCGCGUGUAGGCGGCUUGGCAAGUCGGGUGUGAAAGCCCCAGGCUCAACCUGGGAAGUGCAUUCGAUACUGCGUAGCUAGAGUCAUGGAGAGGGUGGUGGAACUCUCGGUGUAGAGGUGAAAUUCGUAGAUAUCGAGAAGAACACCUGUGGCGAAGGCGGCCACCUGGCCGUUGACUGACGCUGAGACGCGAAAGCGUGGGGAGCAAACAGG